AUGUCACGAAGAAAUUAUGCACACCUUCUCUCAAUUGUUGAAUAUAGGCAUGUUGAUCCGUACUCCCUUUGUUUCCAUAUACUGUUAGUCCCUGAUUAACCCGAUUUCCAUCAAGGUCAAACUCUUUUCCAAGGGAUUCCAUGACCAGUUGCUGCAAAUAACGACUAAACAAUAACAGGCUAUCCUUGUACGGAAGGACAACCAUAUCCUUAG
rnacentral:misc_RNA from 1 species